GUGAAUCAUCAAAUCUUUGAACGCAAAUUGCACUCCCUGGUAUUCCGGGGAGUAUGCCUGUUUGAGGGUCGUUAGAACAAAAAUCGAAGGGUCGCUCUUUUUUUUAAGGGUGAUCGCGUCGGAAUUGAGCCGUCUUUGAAAUGUUAAUUCAUGUCAAAGUGGCUUAAAAUUCAUCUAUCCGGUACGAUUAAAGCGUAUUUAAGAUCAAUUUUGAUUAAGAACGAGCGAUGAACGUACCAUCGCAUGUAGUACGUUUGACUUGAAGUCGUAGGGAUCAUUUCGUAUACGAUGCUCAACUUUU
rnacentral:misc_RNA from 1 species